GAAUUCCGUGUGAAUCAGCGAGGACCACCUCGUAAGGCUAAGUACUCCUGUGUGACCGAUAGCGAAACAGUACCGCGAGGGAAAGGUGAAAAGAACCCCGGGAGGGGAGUGAAAUAGAACAUGAAACCGUGAGCCUACAAGCAAUGGGAGCCCUACUCAUAGGGUGACCGUGUGCCUGUUGAAGAAUGAGCCGGCGACUUAUAGGCACUGGCGGGUUAAACCGGAAAUGGUGGAGCCAUAGCGAAAGCGAGUCUGAAUAGGGCGUUUGUCAGUGUUUAUAGACCCGAACCCGGGUGAUCUAACCAUGGCCAGGAUGAAGCUUGGGUGAUACCAAGUGGAGGUCCGAACCGACUGACGUUGAAAAGUCAGCGGAUGAGCUGUGGUUAGGGGUGAAAUGCCAAUCGAACCCGGAGCUAGCUGGUUCUCCCCGAAAUACGUUGAGGCGUAGCGUCUCGUGCUCCAGCAGGGGGGUAAAGCCACCAUUUCGGUGCGGGCUGCGAGAGCGGUACCAAAUCGAGAUGAACUCUGAAUACCCUGUGUGUAGCGAGGCAGUCAGACUGUGGGGGAUAAGCUCCAUGGUCGAGAGGGAAACAGCCCAGACCGCCAGCUAAGGUCCCCAAAUCAACACUAAGUGAUAAAGGAGGUGGGAUUGCCCAGACAACCAGGAGGUUUGCCUAGAAGCAGCCAUCCUCAAAGGAGUGCGUAAUAGCUCACUGGUCGAGCGAUCCUGCGCCGAAAAUGAAUGGGGCUAAGUGUUGUACCGAAGCUGCGGAUUUAUGGUAGGGGAGCGUUCUAUGUGGGGCGAAGCGUUAGCGUGAGCGGGCGUGGACUGCAUAGAAGUGAGAAUGUCGGCUUGAGUAGCGAAAACAUGGGUGAGAAUCCCAUGCACCGAAACCCUAAGGGUUCCUCCGGCAGGCUCGUCCGCGGAGGGUUAGUCUGGACCUAAGGCGAGGCCGAAAGGCGUAGUCGAUGGAUAACAGGUCAACAUUCCUGUACCGGUUAUGUUUUGGGAAGAGGGACGGAGAAGGCUAGCCAAGCCAGAUGUUGGUUACUGGUUCAAGCGUUCGAGGCGUUGAGGAUCGGCGAAAACGAUCCGAGCUGAGGCGUGAGUACGAGCUGCUACGGCAGCGAAGUUGGUGAUGUCAUGCUUCCAAGAAAAGCUCUAUACCCGUUAAGGCAUAACUGCCAGUACCCGAAACCGACACAGGUGGGGUGGUAGAGAAUACCGAGGUGCGCGAGGUAACUCUCUCUAAGGAACUCGGCAAAAUGGCCCCGUAACUUCGGGAGAAGGGGUGCCACAGCAAUGUGGUCGCAGUGAAGAGGCCCUGGCGACUGUUUACCAAAAACACAGGUCUCCGCUAAGUCGCAAGACGAUGUAUGGGGGCUGACGCCUGCCCAGUGCCGGAAGGUUAAGGAAGCCGGUCAGCGUAAGCGAAGCUGGCGACUGAAGCCCCGGUGAACGGCGGCCGUAACUAUAACGGUCCUAAGGUAGCGAAAUUCCUUGUCGGGUAAGUUCCGACCCGCACGAAAGGCGUAACGAUCAGGGCGCUGUCUCGGAGAGAGGCUCGGCGAAAUAGAAUUGUCUGUGAAGAUGCGGACUACAUACACCCGGACAGAAAGACCCUAUGAAGCUUUACUGUAGCUUGGUAUUGUGCCCGGGCUCUGAAUGCGCAGGAUAGGUGGGAGACGUUGAUCUAGUGCUCGUGGGUACUAGGGAGUCAAUGGUGAGAUACCACUCUUUCAGAGCUAGGGUUCUAACGUUCACCCGUUAUCCGGGGAGCGGACAGUAUCAGGUGGGCAGUUUGACUGGGGCGGUCGCCUCCUAAAAGGUAACGGAGGCGCGCAAAGGUUUCCUCAGGCUGGUUGGAAAUCAGCCGACGAGUGCAAAAGCAGAAGGAAGCUUGACUGUGAGACCUACAAGUCGAACAGGGACGAAAGUCGGCUUUAGUGAUCCGACGGUUCUGAGUGGAAGGGCCGUCGCUCAACGGAUAAAAGUUACUCUAGGAUAACAGGCUGAUCUCCCCCAAGAGUUCACAUCGACGGGGAGGUUUGGCACCUCGAUGUCGGCUCAUCGCAACCUGGGGCUGAAGUCGGUCCCAAGGGUUGGGCUGUUCGCCCAUUAAAGCGGUACGCGAGCUGGGUUCAGAACGUCGUGAGACAGUUCGGUC
rnacentral:rRNA from 1 species